AUGACCACCGCGUACGUCUACGACAACUCCUACCGUGUGCUGAAGGACGCGGCGACUGGCGAGGCGUCCACGCCAUUCUACAGGCUAUUGGAGUUCAUGCACACGAAGAACCUGACGCCGAAGCAGCUCAAAGCCUUCACCAGGAAGUCCAGCUCAAAGCUUUCACAUGCUGGUAGACUCACUCUUAUUAAUUCAGUUUUUGCUUCUAUUCCCAUUUAUUAUAUGUCAAAUAUUCUCUUCCCCAAAAAAUUCUUGGCUAAACUUACUGCUAUCAUUAGGAACUUCUGGUGGACAGGAGUUAGGGAAGAAGCUAAUGCCAAAUCUCUUUGUCUUAGAGCUUGGUAG
rnacentral:rRNA from 1 species